rnacentral:rRNA from 1 species
GCUCAAAUUUGAAAGCUAGCCUUCGGGUUCGCAUUGUAAUUUGUAGAGGAUGAUUUGGGGAAGCCGCCUGUCUAAGUUCCUUGGAACAGGACGUCAUAGAGGGUGAGAAUCCCGUAUGUGACAGGAAAUGGCACCCUAUGUAAAUCUCCUUCGACGAGUCGAGUUGUUUGGGAAUGCAGCUCUAAAUGGGAGGUAAAUUUCUUCUAAAGCUAAAUAUUGGCGAGAGACCGAUAGCGCACAAGUAGAGUGAUCGAAAGAUGAAAAGCACUUUGGAAAGAGAGUUAAAAAGCACGUGAAAUUGUUGAAAGGGAAGCGCUUGCAAUCAGACUUGUUUAAACUGUUCGGCCGGUCUUCUGACCGGUUUACUCAGUUUGGACAGGCCAGCAUCAGUUUCGGCGGCCGGAUAAAGGCUCUGGGAAUGUGGCCUCCACUUCGGUGGAGGUGUUAUAGCCCAGGGUGUAAUACGGCCAGCCGGGACUGAGGUCCGCGC